GACAGAGGGUGCAAGCGUUGCUCGGAAUUACUGGGCGUAAAGCGUACGCAGGCUGCUUGCUAAGUCGGGUGUGAAAGCCCGGGGCUCAACCCCGGAAUUGCGCCCGAAACUGGCGAGCUUGAGUGCGGGAGAGGGAAGCGGAAUUCCUGGUGUAGAGGUGAAAUUCGUAGAUAUCAGGAGGAACACCGGUGGCGAAAGCGGCUUCCUGGCCCGACACUGACGCUCAUGUACGAAAGCGUGGGGAGCAAACAGG
rnacentral:rRNA from 1 species